rnacentral:rRNA from 1 species
UGAUGGCUUAGUGAGGCGUUCGGACUGGUCCAGGGAGGUGGGCAACUACCACCCAGGACCGGAAAGUUCUCCAAACUUGGUCAUUUAGAGGAAGUAAAAGUCGUAACAAGGUCUCCGUUGGUGAACCAGCGGAGGGAUCAUUACCGAGUUUACAACUCCCAAACCCUUAUGUGAACCGUACCUAUCGUUGCUUCGGCGGGAACGCCCCGGCGCCCUGCGCCCGGAUCCAGGCGCCCGCCGGAGACCCCAAACUCUUGUGUUUUUUUCAGUAUUCUCUGAGUGGCAAACGCAAAAAUAAAUCAAAACUUUUAACAACGGAUCUCUUGGCUCUGGCAUCGAUGAAGAACGCAGCGAAAUGCGAUAAGUAAUGUGAAUUGCAGAAUUCAGUGAAUCAUCGAAUCUUUGAACGCACAUUGCGCCCGUUAGCAUUCUAGCGGGCAUGCCUGUCCGAGCGUCAUUUCAACCCUCAGGGUCCCCGUUCCGGCGGGGAACCUGGUGUUGGGGAUCGGCCCGCCCCGCGCGGCGCCGUCCCCCAAAUUCAGUGGCGGUCUCGCUGCAGCCUCCCCUGCGUAGUAGUUACAACCUCGCAUCGGAGCUCAGCGCGGCCACGCCGUAAAACCCCCGACUUUCUGAACGUUGACCUCGGAUCAGGUAGGAAUACCCGCUGAACUUAAGCAUAUCAAUAAGCGGAGGAAAAGAAACCAACAGGGAUUGCCUUAGUAACGGCGAGUGAAGCGGCAACAGCUCAAAUUUGAAAUCUGGCCCCAGGCCCGAGUUGUAAUUUGCAGAGGAUGCUUUUGGCGCGGUGCCUUCCGAGUUCCCUGGAACGGG